UACAGAGGUCCCAAGCGUUGUUCGGAUUCACUGGGCGUAAAGGGUGCGUAGGCGGUCGGGUAAGUCUGGUGUGAAAUCUCACAGCUUAACUGUGAAACUGCAUUGGAUACUAUCCGGCUCGAGGAAUGGAGGGGAGACUGGAAUACUUGGUGUAGCAGUGAAAUGCGUAGAUAUCAAGUGGAACACCAGUGGCGAAGGCGAGUCUCUGGACAUUUCCUGACGCUGAGGCACGAAAGCCAGGGAGCAAACGGG
rnacentral:rRNA from 1 species